CAGCCGCCGCGGGAACACGUAGGGUGCGAGCGUUAAUCGGAAUUACCGGGCGUAAAGCGUGCGCAGGCGGUUGUGUAAGACAGGUGUGAAAUCCCCGGGCUUAACCUGGGAACUGCGCUUGUGACUGCACAGCUAGAGUAUGGCAGAGGGGGGUGGAAUUCCACGUGUAGCAGUGAAAUGCGUAGAGAUGUGGAGGAACACCGAUGGCGAAGGCAGCCCCCUGGGCCAAUACUGACGCUCAUGCACGAAAGCGUGGGGAGCAAACAGGAUUAGAGACCCCAGUAGUCCCUGUCUCUUAUAA
rnacentral:rRNA from 1 species